CCUACGGGUGGCAGCAGUGAGGAAUAUUGGUCAAUGGCCGGAAGGCUGAACCAGCCAUGCCGCGUGAAGGAUGACUGCCCUAUGGGUUGUAAACUUCUUUUAUAUGGGAAUAAAAUGUUCCACGUGUGGGAUUUUGUAUGUCCCAUAUGAAUAAGGAUCGGCUAACUCCGUGCCCGCAGCCGCGGUAAUACGGAGGAUCCGAGCGUUAUCCGGAUUUAUUGGGUUUAAAGGGAGCGUAGGUGGCUUGUUAAGUCAGUUGUGAAAGUGUGCGGCUCAACCGUAAAAUUGCAGUUGAAACUGGCAGUCUGGAGUACAGUAGAGGUGGGCGGAAUUCGUGGUGUAGCGGUGAAAUGCUUAGAUAUCACGAAGAACUCCGAUGGCGAAGGCAGCUCACUGGACUGCAACUGACACUGAGGCUCGAAAGUGUGGGUAUCAAACAGGAUUAGAUACCCCAGUAGUC
rnacentral:rRNA from 1 species